UUGUGCACAAUAAAUAACACUCAAAAAUAUAUUUAAGGUUUUCAUUUGACUCGCCUACGUAUUUUUAAAAUCUUAAUCUUACACUUCCUUAUUGUAGUACAAAGACAUGCUUAUACUAAUCCAGAAAGUGUCAACAGUGAAUAUAAGUUAUGUAAUAAUUUUCUACUAGUUCAAAAUAAUGAUUUAAUUUAAAUUAAAUUAAAUUUGUAUUAUUAAUCUACUUUUACACAAGGGCACAUUAUUUGAAAAGUUCUAUCAGCUGGUACUUAACAGCAUUUAGUGCACUGAAAGUUAACUGAUGUGUUGGAAAACAAAUUGCCUCCUCUUCAGGGUUGAAGAAUAAACCAAGCAGGAAACCAGCAUGAAGCAGGUCUUACUACCUUACUUUGGCUUCUUCUUCAACCCUGAACAUUGGGGUGACAUGUUCCUCCAAUACACUAACUGAUUUUUCAACACUCUACAUGGCGUUAUAUCCUAGAGGACAGAGCCCUUCAUAACCACAGCUGUGAAAACCUCAAAUCCAGCACAUUAACGGUUUCAGUGUUUCAUUGAUUUAUUACAAAUAUUAAAAGUUAAAUACUAUCAUAUUGUUAUGUGCAAAAUUUUCUGACACAAAAGAUACAAAAUAUCCUUGCAGAUCUGAUCAUCUGUGGUACUUCAUAUGAAUUUAUCUCCCCAUGGCUAAUUAAAUCAAAGUACAACUAACUGUGCAAAAACUGUAUGUUACACUAGUAGAAUAUGAUUGUAUUAGAGUAAUUCCUUUGAUUAAUAACAUAAAACCUGAGUCUUUUUAUUAAUAUCAAUGUUUUACUCAAAUCGUAACAAGCAUACUUAUUGUAUUAAAUUGGUAUAAAGAAAUAAAAUGUGCAUCACUAUGUGUGAAAUUACAACAUCUUGUAUGUGUGGUUAAAUGAUAACAAUAAUAUAAUGCAAUGUAUCACAUUAAGAUUCCAUUUUGCAAUAGCAAUAUGACAACAGACACAGCAGCUAUAAUGUCAGACUUGAGGCUCUUGUGGCCAUGACUACAAACGUGUUGUUUUCUGAGAUGUAACACUAUAGUAUUGUAAAAGUCUCCCUGACAUUUUGGAGAACAUAUGACUCCACCUGCAGGGUCAAAGAGUAAACCAAGCAAGCAAGCAAGCAAGAAGCAAGCAGGGUAUUCUGCUUGCCGAUUACUCCUGGCUUGUUGCUUGUUCGACAUACUCUUUGACCAUGCAGAUUCAGGCAGUACAUUCAUUCAAAAUAUCAGGAAAAUUCUACCAGACUACAUGGCAUCACAGCCCAGGGGACGGUACUCUUCAUGGUAGCUACAAGUACAUAAUCAGACUAUACGUACGGAUGGUUAGAACACAUAUGACUUGCAAGAAUACUUAUUGCUCAGCUUACGUGGACAUGCAACUGACAUCAAGAUUAUUAGUAACAAUUAUUACCACUUCAGUUUUGGACAAAAAGGAAAGGGACCUAAUGAACAAGAAUUAAAUGAAUAGAAACUGAAAGAGUAUUUUUAAAAUUCAAAGGAUGUUCAUGAUAUCCCACAUUCUUCACAACAUGUACACAUCAUCAUGCAUUUCUGUUGUUAGUACAUUAAAGGUUGUCACUAUUCACCAUCAAGCAUUUUUCAAACUGUCACAAAACCAGUUCAUGAUCCUAGGUACUGCAAUUUUCUGUGUCAGUCUGCAAAACAAAUAUAAAUUGAUUUUUGUUUGAUCUUAUAGAAAUAUAUGUAUUUUAUAUGGUUGGUUGUAAGCCUGAUAUUCUCUGUUUUAUUGGGGCUGGUGUGAGUGGGACUCUGGUCUGAUACCUGUGGUGAUCUAUUUUUCACAUCUUUACUUUCAUUUGUAGACAGAUAAGAUUAAUUUUAUUCAGUGUUUAGUAUGUCCUCUUUUGGAAUUAGAUUUUAGUAGAUAAUUUCAGCUAUAUCUGCCUCUAUGCUGGAGACUCCAUUUAAUAUCAAGAUGUGCCAGAACAGCAGUUAUCUUUGGAAACAGAAAAUGUAUGAAUGUGCCCCCCCCCCCACCGAGAAGCUUGUAGUAAUGAUGUUCAAGCCAAAUACUUUGUGGUGAGUGCUGAAUAUUCAGCUUUCUAGAUAUCCCAUAAAUAUUUUAUUGUGAAGAUUAAGGAAUUCUGAAGCCCCCAAAAAAAUAGUUCCAAUAGCUUAUUUUAAAAAUAUCAAUCGUAACCACAUUGAAAUAUGCAUCUUUCCUCACUAACAUUUUCAGUAAUAAUGACUCAAGAACUCUCAUCAAAGAACAUGACAGUAAUACCAAUCCAAGGUUCCAUUUCUGUACAUGUCUAUGUUAUUAGUUCAUCUUCUUAUUUCACCUCCUUUAUAUUUACCAACAUUUGCUUCCACAGCUUUUUUUUUUUAAUCUUUAACAACCAGAUACUUUGGUUUAAAUGUAAUGCAAUUACAAAGUAACAUGUGUAUAGAUAUUGGUCUUGUUAAAGGAAAAUUCAUUACUAAGUUUCAGUACCACAUCAUGAAGGCCUUGGUCUUGGGUAAAUGUGAGAGGCCAGCUUCAUGCUCUGGCAGACCAUUUACUGGAGAGGAGGUUAGGUGGGUCCCAUAGCUGGUCUGGAUGCAGUGGCAAAGAGAUGAAGUUCUUCCUGUCUUUGUUCAUUAUUAUAUUAGGUUGAGGGGAGG